rfam:Ipomoea nil DNA, scaffold: scaffold3056, cultivar: Tokyo-kokei standard.
GUCGUUGUAGUAUAGUGGUGAGUAUCCUCGCUUGUCACGCGGGAGACCCGGGUUUGAUCCUCGGCAACGGCG